GGAGAGCACAGGGGUCAGAUCUCGAGGGGCCUUGAAACCACGCAAGGGGGUUGGCCUUUAAUGCUGCUGGCCAUCAGGAGCCACCAAAAGGUUUUAAGCUGGGAAGAACGCGAUCAGAGUCGCGUUUACGUUGGGUCACUGCAUCCUGGUGUGGAUUUGCGGUGAUUUGAGACCGGAGGACGGUCUCAGUAGGGACAGUGGCCUGGGAUCGGGCAGCUGCAAUAGAAACGGAGUAAAAGGCCUGAGAAGCAAGGGCGAAAAAGAGAGAAGCAUCUUGGAAGACUUCUCACUGUGGAGAUUCCUGAAGAUGGUGUACUGAUGGUUCUGUCGGCUGAACGCCACUAGAAACUCUACUGACUCAGGCUUUCUGACUGUUGGAAUGGUUUUAGAUGGUCAUCCCAGAGAAUGAAGGCAUGCAUGACUCACAUGAAGCACUGGUUAUUAAAGACAAGAGCACGGGCUCUAGGCGCGUGGACUUCAGUAGUUGUGGUGCACGGGCUCAGUUGCUCUGCGGCAUGUGGGAUCUUCCUGGACCAGGGCUCGAACCCAUGUCCCCUGCAUUGGCAGGCGGAUUCUUAACCACUGCACCACCAGGGAAGCCCAUCAUUUAAAAAAAAAACUAUACUUACCAACUUACAUUUGAAGUCCAAAGCCAGCAUUUGCUCAUUCUGAGGUGGGACUGGUGAACAUCCAUAAGUGACAUGGCUAUUUGGGAGUACUUUUGGUUGGGACACUGAAGCCAGAGCUCCAGAGGGUGGCUGAAACAGAAUAUCCCCCUGCUAAACAGGCCAGUGAGAAGAAUUCCUCACUAUCAAAUUCUCAUCAACAAGUCUGACAGAAUUUGCGUCUCCUAAACCUACAUUUCCAAGGAGGUCAUAACAAUAUUUAUGGAAUAUGAGGCACAGAAUCUUAAGUUAAAAAAUAUUUUUCCAGGUCUUAUUUACACUGAACUCAAAUUAACUGUCAAAUAAGAAUACUGACAUAAGUAAGGUAUUUAUUGCUAAGUUGAAAACCUUCUUUACCAAAUAUGAUGGAACCAAAGAUACAAUGAAGCCGUGGCUAAGAAAACUCACCCCCUGUGAUUAAAUUUUAUUGAGUAUGAACAAUUUUUUUCUUGAUGUACAGACUCAAUUGUACUUUUCUACCCAACUGGAUAAAUAAAAGCUAAAAUAUAAUUUAUUUAACUCUUUUUGGAAAUAAAACUUCAACAUACCUUAAA